rnacentral:rRNA from 1 species
UACGUAGGGGGCAAGCGUUGUCCGGAAUCAUUGGGCGUAAAGCGCGUGUAGGCGGCUUGGUAAGUCCGCUCUGAAAGCCCGGGGCUCAACCCCGGGAGGCGGGUGGAUACUGUCAAGCUCGAGUCCGGAAGAGGCGAGUGGAAUUCCUGGUGUAGCGGUGAAAUGCGCAGAUAUCAGGAGGAACACCAAUGGCGAAGGCAGCUCGCUGGGACGUGACUGACGCUGAGGCGCGAAAGCGUGGGGAGCGAACAGG